GUCAUUUUGGAUCGUUAGCAGGAGGAAUUCUACGGUGCACUUUUCAAGCAGACUGACUUCAGCGUUUUUUAUUCUGGUGAAAUAAAGACCUGCUCUCGACUGUCCGUGGUGGCAAACCCACAGCCUUUCGCUCGAGGUGGUCUGAUUAUGCAUGGAUGGAUUGCUUUGUUCAGGAGAAGUUAACUGAAUGGCAGCUUCCAGAACUUGUUAAUAGUUUUGAAG